rnacentral:rRNA from 1 species
UGGGGAAUCUUGGACAAUGGGCGAAAGCCUGAUCCAGCCAUGCCGCGUGUGUGAUGAAGGCCCUAGGGUUGUAAAGCACUUUCAAUGGGGAAGAUAAUGACGGUACCCAUACAAGAAGCCCCGGCUAACUUCGUGCCAGCAGCCGCGGUAAUACGAAGGGGGCUAGCGUUGUUCGGAAUUACUGGGCGUAAAGCGCGCGUAGGCGGAUUGAUCAGUCAGGGGUGAAAUCCCGGGGCUCAACCCCGGAACUGCCUUUGAUACUGUCAAUCUAGAGGUCGAGAGAGGUGAGUGGAAUUCCGAGUGUAGAGGUGAAAUUCGUAGAUAUUCGGAGGAACACCAGUGGCGAAGGCGGCUCACUGGCUCGAAUCUGACGCUGAGGUGCGAAAGCGUGGGGAGCAAACAGGAUUAGAUACCCCCGUAGUCC